rnacentral:hammerhead_ribozyme from 1 species
AUCUAGCUGAUCAGUUCAAAAUAGGACGAAACGUGUGUCCUGAAU